UACGGAGGGUGCAAGCGUUAUCCGGAUUUACUGGGUUUAAAGGGUGCGUAGGUGGGUCUGUAAGUCAGUGGUGAAAUCUUCGAGCUUAACUCGGAAACUGCCAUUGAUACUAUAGGUCUUGGAUCAUCUGGAGGUGAGCGGAAUAUGUCAUGUAGCGGUGAAAUGCUUAGAUAUGACAUAGAACACCGAUUGCGAAGGCAGCUCACUACGGAUGUAUUGACACUGAGGCACGAAAGCGUGGGGAUCAAACAGG
rnacentral:rRNA from 1 species